CCUACGGGUGGCAGCAGUGGGGAAUAUUGGUCAAUGGACGAGAGUCUGAACCAGCCAAGUAGCGUGAAGGAUGACUGCCCUAUGGGUUGUAAGCUUCUUUUAUAUGGGAGUAAACUGUUCCACGUGUGGGCUUUUGUAUGUACCAUAUGUAUAAGAGUCGGCUAACUCCGUGCCAUCAGCCGCGGUACUACGGAGGGUCCGGUCGUUAUGCGGAUUUAAUGGGUUUAAAGUGAACGUCGGGGGAUUGUUAAGUGAGGUGUGAAAGUGUGCGGCUCAACCGGACAAUUGCAGUUGAAACUGGCAGGCUGGAGUACAGUAGGGGUGGGCGGAAUUCGUGGUGUAGCGGUGAAAUGCUUAGAGAUCACGAAGAACUCCGAAUGCGAAGGCAGCCCACUGGAAUGCAACUGACACUGAGGCUCGAAAGUGUGGGUAGCAAACAGGAUUAGAUACCCGUGUAGUC
rnacentral:rRNA from 1 species